rnacentral:rRNA from 1 species
UGCGCCUUGCCACGCCCGCUCAGAACUACAAAGGAAUUGACGGGGGCCCGCACAAGCGGAGGAGCAUGUGGUUUAAUUCGAUGAUACGCGAGGAACCCUUACCGUGGGCUUAAAUGCUUAAUGACGUACUGGGAAACUGGUAUUUCUUCGGACAUUUUGCAAGGUGCUGCAUGGUUGUCGUCAGCUCGUGCCGUGAGGUGUCGGGUUAAGUCCCAUAACGAGCGCAACCCCUAUUGUUAGUUGCCAUCAGGUCAUGCUGGGGACUCUAACAAAACUGCCCGCGUAAGCGUGGAGGAAGGUGGGGAUGACGUCAAAUCAGCACGGCCCUUACGUCCAGGGCUACACACGUGCUACAAUGGCCGGUACAGAGGGCAGCCACUUGGUGACAAGGAGCAAAUCUCAAAAGCCGGUCUCAGUUCGGAUCGGAGUCUGCAACUCGACUCCGUGAAGUUGGAUUCGCUAGUAAUCGUAGAUCAGCAAUGCUACGGUGAAUACGUUCCCGGGCCUU